GCCGGUGUAGCUCAGUUGGUAGAGCAGCGCAUUCGUAAUGCGAAGGUCGGAGGUUCAAGUCCCCUCUCCGGCACCA
rnacentral:tRNA from 1 species